rnacentral:rRNA from 1 species
CCGUCAAUUCCUUUGAGUUUUAAUCUUGCGACCGUACUCCCCAGGCGGUCAACUUCACGCGUUAGCUACGUUACUAAGGAAAUGAAUCCCCAACAACUAGUUGACAUCGUUUAGGGCGUGGACUACCAGGGUAUCUAAUCCUGUUUGCUCCCCACGCUUUCGUGCAUGAGCGUCAGUGUUAUCCCAGGGGGCUGCCUUCGCCAUCGGUAUUCCUCCACAUCUCUACGCAUUUCACUGCUACACGUGGAAUUCUACCCCCCUCUGACACACUCUAGCCGUGCAGUCACCAAUGCAAUUCCCAGGUUAAGCCCGGGGAUUUCACAUCGGUCUUGCACAACCGCCUGCGCACGCUUUACGCCCAGUAAUUCCGAUUAACGCUUGGACCCUACGUAUUACCGCGGCUGCUGGCACGUAGUUAGCCGGUCCUUAUUCUUCCGGUACCGUCAUCCACACCCGGUAUUAUCAGGUGCGAUUUCUUCCCGGACAAAAGUGCUUUACAACCCGAAGGCCUUCUUCACACACGCGGCAUUGCUGGAUCAGGGCUGCCCCCAUUGUCCAAAAUUCCCCACUGCUGCCUCCCGUAGGAGUCUGGGCCGUGUCUCAGUCCCAGUGUGGCUGAUCGUCCUCUCAGACCAGCUACUGAUCGUCGCCUUGGUAGGCCUUUACCCCACCAACUAGCUAAUCAGACAUCGGCCGCUCCUAUAGCAUGAGGCCUUGCGGUCCCCCACUUUCACCCUCAGGUCGUAUGCGGUAUUAGCUAGUCUUUCGACUAGUUAUCCCCCACUACAGGGCACGUUCCGAUGUAUUACUCACCCGUUCGCCACUCGCCACCAGGAUUGCUCCCGUGCUGCCGUUCGACUUGCAUGUGUAAGGCAUGCCGCCAGCGUUCAAUCUGAGCCANGAUCAAACUCUA